UACGAAGGGGCGAGCGUUGCUCGGAAUCACUGGGCGUAAAGCGCACGUAGGCGGCUUCUAAGUCAGGGUGAAAUCCUGGAGCUCAACUCCAAGAACUGCCUUUGAUGACUGGAAAGCUUGAGUUCGGGAGAGGUGAGUGGAACUGGCGAGUGUAGCGGUGAAAUGCGCAGAGUAUACGGGAGGAACACCGGUGGCGAAGGCGGCUCACUGGCCCGAUAUGACGCUGAGGUGCGAAAGCGUGGGGAGCAAACAGG
rnacentral:rRNA from 1 species